GGGACAAAGCCCAGCGGACUUGGCAGCAGAUAGUAAAACACGGUGGUCUUAACCAUCCUUUCAUCCAGUUCUCAUUGCAGUGUCCACUUGUCUGCAUUGACCCAGAAUGACCACAGAGGCAAAAUCCUUGGAGGCCGAGGACGAAGGAGGGUUUCCCAUUGGGAGAGACAUUGCCCCACGCCCGUCAUGGGGACGCCGCACCUGCUCUGGGCGCCGCCUGACCCUCAUCCUUUUGGGGGUCCUUUGCAGCCUCCUCCUCGCCAUGGUGGUCUUUGGCUUCAG